UUAAACCUUCAGGGAUUGGUGAAAUUCCAUACCGGCGGUAAAGCCCGCGAGCCUUAUGGCAGAUCUGGUUAGAUUCCAGAGCCGACAGUAUAGUCUGGAUGAAAGAAGGUGAAA
rnacentral:ncRNA from 2 species